rnacentral:rRNA from 1 species
GACAGAGGUGCCAAGCGUUAGGCGGAAUCACUGGGCUUAAAGCGUGUGUAGGUGGAUGCCUAAGUGCCUUGUGAAAUCCCACGGCUCAACCGUGGAAUUGCUCGGCAUACUGGGUGUCUUGAGCCACUUAGGGGUCGCUGGAACAAACGGUGGAACGGUGAAAUGCGUAGAUAUCGUUUGGAACGCCAAUGGUGAAAACAGGCGACUGGGAGUGUGCUGACACUGAGACACGAAAGCCAGGGGAGCAAACGGGG